AUGAGCCAUAGUUGUGCUGGGAGCAGAGAGGAGCAGCAUAUAUAUGAAGUUCUGAGUCACAUACGUGAAGGCGGGGAGCUGGCUGAGGCAGAGGAUGAGGGCCAGGCUGCUGGAGUCUGGGUGUUGAAAUCUGCUGAGAUUUAUUUUGAUGAAGGUGCUGGCCUGGCCCAGUAUCCAGACCCAAAGCUCUUCAUAAGGGAUCAGACCCUGAGUCCCAAGUUUCAUCUUCCAGAGAGAAGGCGGAGGAAGCUGGAAGUUUCUUUAACCCGCAGCUUGCUUCUGAAGAUUCUGCGGGAUGCAUUAGGUGAACAUGAGGCCAUUACAACCUCUCUGAGAGGCCUUUGUGCGGAGUUUGGGCUGAGGUGGUGA
rnacentral:lncRNA from 1 species